rnacentral:rRNA from 1 species
CCUACGGGCGGCAGCAGUGGGGAAUAUUGGACAAUGGGCGAAAGCCUGAUCCAGCCAUGCCGCGUGUGUGAAGAAGGCCUUCGGGUUGUAAAGCACUUUCAGUGGGGAAGAAAGCCUUGGGGCUAAUACCCUCGAGGAAGGACAUCACCCACAGAAGAAGCACCGGCUAACUCCGUGCCAGCAGCCGCGGUAAUACGGAGGGUGCGAGCGUUAAUCGGAAUUACUGGGCGUAAAGCGCGCGUAGGCGGUCUGAUAAGCCGGUUGUGAAAGCCCCGGGCUCAACCUGGGAACGGCAUCCGGAACUGUCAGGCUAGAGUGCAGGAGAGGAAGGUAGAAUUCCCGGUGUAGCGGUGAAAUGCGUAGAGAUCGGGAGGAAUACCAGUGGCGAAGGCGGCCUUCUGGACUGACACUGACGCUGAGGUGCGAAAGCGUGGGUAGCAAACAGGAUUAGAUACCCGGGAGUC